GAAAUGUUUUCAGCACAUAGAUGAACAAAAAAAGAAUGCUUGUCAGAACUUGAAAGAAACUGUGGUGAUUUGGGAACUGAACUGUAGACAAUUAAAUGAUUUUUCAUUCAGUUUACAGAUCAGUUGGAAGCUGUACAGUGAGUUAAGUUGUUUAUAGAUCAGCGAAAAACAUUAUAGAAGUUGUCUUCACCAGCUGGCAUGGUUUUGAAAAAAAAAAUGAUUAACAGACAAAAAGAACAACAGUUAGCUAGAGAACUCAUGUUAUAAGGCCUUGUUUAGUUUCGAAAUUUUUUGGGAAAUGGACACUGUAGCAUUUUCGUUUGUAUUUGACAAAUAUUGUCCAAUUAUGGACUAACUAGGCUCAAAAGAUUCGUCUCGUCAAUUUCGACCAAACUGUGCAAUUAGUUUUUAUUUUCGUCUAUAUUUAAUACUCCAUGUAUGCGUCUAAAGAUUCGAUGUGACGGGGAAUGUGAAAAAUUUUGUAAAAUUUUCUGGGAAGUAAACAAGGCCUAAAUAUAAGCCGAGAAUUUGACAUGCUUGCACCUGUACAAUACAAUAGGUUGGUCAGGUAUGAUUCUUGACUAGGAAAAAAAGAUAUCUUGCAUACUGUAUUAUUUUUAGUUGAUGAACAGAGUUCUCUGUUGCCUGCAUGACCAUGUGAUGUCUACGACUUUUUUUAAAAAAAAUCCAGAAAAUUUCCUCUCCUGAGCCAUAAAUAGUUUCUUUUAUUCAGAUGGUUGGAGUUGUCAUAUUCAAAUAUGGAAACAGUAAGCAGUCAGAUAUACUAUAUAUUGGGAUUUCCUGCUGACUAGCAAAAUAGAAGCACUUUAGCUGAUCUGACAUCAUGGGUCAGGUAUUUUGGGAUGGAGCUGAACUUGCAAUAGCAUUAGCAAAAUGAAAACCUUAGCAUGUUGAAUGAUAGCAGAUAAGAAACUUGUAUUUCUUGCAAUUGGCUCUAGAUGUUGAUAAGAAAUGCCCAUGUGCAAUAUCUUGAAAGCUUGGAUUUGAAUCCAGAAAGCUUAAGUUGGUCUUAUGUUCUUGCCCCUGUUUUUUUCCUAAUUAGCAUAUUUAUUACCUUAGUGCCCUAGCCACUGCCAAAAGUUUUUACCUUGAUCAACCAUGGGCAGUUACCAUUGAAAUUUCUAAAACCUAUACAUAUAUUUGUUUUUUAAGAAAUCUUUUGGUUGGAUUGGACUCAUGUUUUACUAUUUUCAUGUGGAUAUAAUUUAAGCUUGUGCAAGAGUAUAUGUUUAUGUCAAUGAAGUAUGAACUAUUGCAAUAAUUAUUUCCAUAUGACAAAGUAAGGCUAAAGAUGAAAAGAAUCAAUUACUAGGACAAUGGGAAAAUGUGAACUCAUGCCAGCUUUGCAAAGUAGAAAAGCUCUUUUUGAGCCUCCACCUACUUUGAGCCAACAACAGACACUGUGCUAUGAAACAUAUUGGCCUAAAUAAUCUAUAAAUCGGAAUUUGAACAUGGGACCACCGUGGACCUAGGCAUACAUUCUCUAAUUCAUAAGUGGUCGACUAUACAAUAGUAGAAAAAAUAUAAACACAUGCCUGUUUAGAGAGGCUGGCAUUUUUUCACUCAGUACAGAUGGUUACGGUG
rnacentral:lncRNA from 1 species